rnacentral:rRNA from 1 species
GACGAACGCUGGCGGCGUGCUUAACACAUGCAAGUCGAACGGAAAGGCCCUGCUUUUGUGGGGUGCUCGAGUGGCGAACGGGUGAGUAACACGUGAGUAACCUGCCCUUGUCUUUGGGAUAACUUCAGGAAACUGGGGCUAAUACCGGAUAGGAGCUCCUGCUGCAUGGUGGGGGUUGGAAAGUUUCGGCGGUUGGGGAUAGACUCGCGGCUUAUCCGCUUGUUGGUGGGGUAGUGGCUUACCAAGGCUUUGAAGGGUAGCCGGCCUGGGAGGGUGACCGGCCACAUUGGGACUGAGAUACGGCGCAGACUCCUACGGGAGGCAGCAGUGGGGAAUAUUGCACAAUGGGCGGAAGCCUGAUGCAGCAACGCCGCGUGCGGGAUGACGGCCUUCGGGUUGUAAACCGCUUUCGCCUGUGACGAAGCGUGAGUGACGGUAAUGGGUAAAGAAGCACCGGCUAACUACGUG